rnacentral:rRNA from 1 species
UAUUAUUAGUAUUAAUUAAUAAUAUAAUCUGCUCAAUGAAAUUUAAAUAGCCGCAAAUCACUUUGUGCUAAGGUAGCAUAAUCAUUCGUUUUUUAAUUGAAAACUAGAACAAAAGAUUAAACAUUUUAAUAAAAUUUUAAAAUUUUACAAAAUUUAAUUUAUCUUAAAUGUAAAAAGACAUUUAUUUUUAAAAAAGACGAUAAGACCCUAUCGAACUUAACUUAAGUUAAACUGGGGCAGUUAAUUAAUUAAUAUUUUAAUUAUAUUAUCAAUAUAAAUACCUAAUAUUAUUAAAUUAUAAUCAAGUUACCGUAGGGAUAACAGCAUAAUAAAUAUUUAUAGUACUUAUUUAAAUAAACAAUUAUGACCUCGAUGUUGAAUAAUAACUUAUAAAUUUAAGCAAGAUUAAUAAAAAGAGGUCUGUUCGACCUUUAAAAAAUUACA